AUAAAAUAUUUUGUCGUUCAUUUCAAAUGCUUAAUUUGAUGAAAUAUCAACAAUUGACAUUGUGCAUGCUCUCCUGUCUUACCCAUGUUUAUCUUUCGUCUUCCGUUCCAGCAAUGUAUCAAUCAUUAGUCUGAUCCACGUCGCCUUACGACAAAAAUAUUUAUUUACUGAAAUAAUGUGUUGAACGGGCCUUAUAUAUGAUAUAUUUACAAUAAUACUUUAUUUUAUUAAUAAUCAUUAUUUUCAAUAUAUUAGUCUACUUGCAGGCGAGCAGGAUACAUCUUGAAAAAGGACUAAAAAUUUCAAACAGGAAAUACAAGUGCAGUCGAUAUAGCUUAUACUUCUAGUUUAACACACAACUAACAAACACAAGAUAAAUACAUUCCACAAUACUUUCUAGUGAAGUUCUUAUUCCAUAUUGUAUAACAUCGAAAGUAUAUUGUUGUCUAAUAUUGUUGUUAAUAUUGUUUUCUAAUUUUUGUAGAAUUUAAAAUUCUUAAGUAAAAAAAUUCAAUGUGAGUUCAAAUUCAAAAUCUAUUGAGUGCCGGAACCAAACAAUGCGCUACGUCUUCCGUCUCAGCAAUAACCUCAUAAUUAAAAGACCGUAAGAAUUGACAUUAAUUCAUUCAGCUAAAAAUUUUCUCGUUGGCAACUUGCGGCAAACGAAUUCUACAUCUUUCUUCGUGGUUCGAUUGAACAGUCCUUGAAAGCUGAUUGGUAAAGGAGAAAGUGAUGAAGAGCUACACAGUUGCCCUCAUUCUCCUUGUUUUUGUUCUGAUCCAAUGUACUUUCGUUGAAUCUGGCGGUUGGUUUUCGCGUCGCCGUCGACGAAACAGAUGCAAGUACCCUAUUUCAGGAUACGGAAAUCAUGGCCAACGAAGUGAGUAUUUCUAUGGCACAACAAGUCUCUUUAAAGGUAGAAAACGAGUUUUUCAAACAGGCAGAUGGAAACUUCGCCAUAGCUUGAUCCUGUUCCGUGGAAAGAUCUUUGAGUGGGGUUUGGGAAGUCCGAAAACCUACAAAAUGAAUCGGAGCCCAAGUCAUUGUGGAAUACGCUGGAGUUGGCGUAGUAAAGGCACGAGCAAAUGCCACUUGAGCGAUGCCGAGACCUGGACCCGAAAUUAUCGUCGACGCUACGGCAAGUACAGGCUGUUCAGCAACAACUGUCAUUACUUCGUUAACCGAUUGAUAAAAUACUUGGACAAAGAUUGCGGGCGUUGGGGAUAAUGCAAAUAUGGACUUUUCUUGGAUACUGAUAAUUAUGGACUUUUCUUGGAACUUGAAGUGAUACAUAUAUUGAUUAUUGGACACUAGUACUAGCAAACAUAAACCUGCAUGGGACAUGUAGUAUUUUUUGCAAUAGUAAAAUUUCCCAUUAAUUAGCAAUAAAAAGGCGAUUUCA